ACGCUCGACACCUACGGGAGCAGCAGUGGGGAAUAUUGCACAAUGGGGGAAACCCUGAUGCAGCGACGCCGCGUGGAGGAAGAAGGUCUUCGGAUUGUAAACUCCUGUUGUUGGGGAAAAAGAGGAUGGUACCCAACAAGGAAGUGACGGCUAACUACGUGCCAGCAGCCGGGUAAUCUGAGCGGGCGUGGCGAAGGACG
rnacentral:rRNA from 1 species